rnacentral:rRNA from 1 species
UGGAAUUCAAAUGAAUUUUUUUGGUAUAAAAGUUUGACUUGAGAUAGAUAUUAAAUUAAUUUUGUUUUAAGAAGGUGAAAUUUAAAUAAAUAUAGUUAAUUUAUUUUGUUUAGUAAGAAACUUUGAAAUUAUAAUAAUAAACUAGGAUUAGAUACCCUAUUAUAUAUAAAGUGAAUUAUUUGACCAGAGUAGUAAUAGUUAUGAACUUGAAACUCAAAGAAUUUGGCGGUGUUUUAAUCUAGUCAGAGGAAUUUGUCCUGUAAUUGAUAUUACGCGAUUUAAUUGACUUAAUUUUGUAAUAUUUCAGUUUGUAUACCGCCGUUGUAAGAAUAUUUUUGGAGAAUUAUUUUCUUUAUUUUGGGUUAAAAUAUAACAGGUCAAGGUGCAGCUAAUAAUUAAGAAGAGAUGAAUUACAAUAAAAGUAUUUAUAUGGAUUUUAUUGUGUAAUUAAUAGAUGAAGGUGGAUUUGAAAGUAAUAUUAAUUUAUAAUGUUAAUAUGAUUAAGCUCUGAAACAUGUACACAUCGCCCGUCGCUCUCGUUAUAAGAUGAGAUAAGUCGUAACAAAGUAGGUAUACUGGAAAGUGUACCUAGAAAGUU